GUCUAGCCAUGCGAGUCGUUGUAGCAAUACAAGGCGGACUGCUCAGUAACACGUAGUUAACCUAACCUAUGGACGGGGAUAACCUCGGGAAACUGAGAAUAAUACCCGAUAGAUUACGGCACCUGGAAUGGUUCGUAGUUGAAAUGAUUUAUCGCCGUAGGAUGGGACUGCGGCCUAUCAGCUAGUUGGUGAGGUAAUGGCCCACCAAGGCUAUAACAGGUACGGGCUCUGAGAGGAGGGGCCCGGAGAUGGGUACUGAGACACGGACCCAGGCCCUAUGGGGCGCAGCAGGCGAGAAACCUUUGCAAUGUGCGAAAGCACGACAAGGUUAAUCCGAGUGUCUCCUGCUAAAGGAGUCUUUUGUCAGUCAUAGAACCACUGGUGAAUAAGGGGUGGGCAAGUUCUGGUGUCAGCCGCCGCGGUAAAACCAGCACCUCGAGUGGUCAGGAGGUUUAUUGGGCCUAAAGCAUCCGUAGCCGGUUGUUUAAGUUUUCGGUUAAAUCUAUGCGCUUAACGUAUAGGCUGCCGAAAAUACUGGACAGCUAGGGAGUGGGAGAGGUACACGGUACUCGAUAGGAAGGGGUAAAAUCCUUUGAUCUAUUGAUGACCACCUGUGGUGAAGGCGGUGUACCAGAACACGUUCGACGGUGAGGGAUGAAAGCUGGGGGAGCAAACCGGAUUAGAUACCCGGGUAGUCCCAGCUGUAAACGAUGCAAACUCGGUGAUGCAUUGGCUUGUGGCCAAUGCAGUGCCGCAGGGAAGCCGUUAAGUUUGCCGCCUGGGGAAGUACGUACGCAAGUAUGAAACUUAAAGGAAUUGGCGGGGGAGCACCACAAGGGGUGAAGCCUGCGGUUCAAUUGGAUU
rnacentral:rRNA from 1 species